AACGAACGCUGGCGGCGCGCCUAAUACAUGCAAGUCGAGCGAGAAGACGUAGCAAUACGUUUGUAAAGCGGCGAACGGGUGAGGAAUACAUGGGUAACCUACCCUCGAGUGGGGAAUAACUAGCCGAAAGGUUAGCUAAUACCGCGUACGCUCCUCGGACUUCGGUUCAGGGAGGAAAGCGAUACCGUGGGUAUCGCGCUCUUGGAUGGGCUCAUGUCCUAUCAGCUUGUUGGNGAGGUAACGGCUCACCAAGGCUUCGACGGGUAGCUGGUCUGAGAGGACGAUCAGCCACACUGGCACUGCGACACGGGCCAGACUCCUACGGGAGGCAGCAGUAAGGAAUAUUGCGCAAUGGGCGAAAGCCUGACGCAGCGACGCCGCGUGGGGGAUGAAGGUCUUCGGAUUGUAAACCCCUUUCGGGAGGGAAGAUGGAACGAGCAAUCGUUCGGACGGUACCUCCAGAAGCAGCCACGGCUAACUUCGUGCCAGCAGCCGCGGUAAG
rnacentral:rRNA from 1 species